UCUAGCCAAUCCUCAAUACUAGCAAAUUGGGUAUUACAAUCAUCCCCCACUAUCCUCACCCGAGUCUUAAGUAUGUUCAAGCUAAAGUAUAGCCUCUAUGCCCUUAUCAAUCUUCUAGUCUAGCUAGUCAAAGUGUCUAUCAAAAUGAGCAAGCAAAAGCUCUAUGUUCAAUAGUGUAGAAGAGGGACUAACUGCCUGUCUGAAGGUAUGGAAUGCUAGGGAACUGAAGCAGCUAGAUUGAAGGAAGGUUA
rnacentral:lncRNA from 1 species